GGGGAUAUAGCUCAGUUGGUAGAGUGCUUGCCUUGCCUGCAUAAGGCCCUGGGUUCAAUCCCCAGCACCA
rnacentral:tRNA from 1 species